rnacentral:sRNA from 1 species
UAGUUUUGUUUUUCUGCAUCCUCUUAUUAUUAAAAAGGAAGUACAAAUUAAAAUUUUGUCUAAUUUGGCCUUAAUUUUGAUUUCAAUUUUGGAUUUUGUUCUUUGCUAUUCAAAAUCAUUAAGGAUAAUUUAGUCUUAACAAUCUCCUAAACUUUAUAUGAUCCGAUUCAAUUUAAACCGUUCAAUAAAAUUAAUUUUCUUAAAUCUAAACCGUUCAACAAAAAUAAGUAAAUAACAACCAAACAAAAAUUUAAACACAUUUUAACACAUUCCUCUUAUCACUAAAUAACAACCCAAAAAAAAUCUCAAUUAUUAUUUAGUUAUGUUUGAUUAAAAAAUUUAUAUUUAUAAGUUUAGGAUAUCAAAUUUAUUCAAAUAUUUAGUAUAAGAAUCAAAUAAACUGAUUAACCUGCGAUAAACCGCAGGUUAAAUCAUAGUUAUAUUCAAAAAGGAUAUAAGAGUAUGGGGAUAAACUAAAAUGCCUACUACAAGCAAAACU